rnacentral:rRNA from 1 species
ACAUUACCUAUAUAGGAGCGAACGAGGGGAAUUGAAACAUCUUAGUACCCUCAGGAAAAGAAAUCAAUAGAGAUUGCGUCAGUAGCGGCGAGCGAAAGCGCAAGAGGGCAAACCCAGUGCUUGCACUGGGGGUUGUAGGACUGCAAUGUGCAAGAGCUGAGUUUAGCAGAACAUUCUGGAAAGUAUAGCCAUAGAGGGUGAUAGUCCCGUAUGCGAAAAACAAAGCUUAGCUAGCAGUAUCCUGAGUAGGGCGGGACACGAGGAAUCCUGUCUGAAUCCGGGUCGACCACGAUCCAACCCUAAAUACUAAUACCAGAUCGAUAGUGCACAAGUACCGUGAGGGAAAGGUGAAAAGAACUGAGGUGAUCAGAGUGAAAUAGAACCUGAAACCAUUUGCUUACAAUCAUUCAGAGCACUAUGUAGCAAUACAGUGUGAUGGACUGCCUUUUGCAUAAUGAGCCUGCGAGUUGUGGUGUCUGGCAAGGUUAAGCAAACGCGAAGCCGUAGCGAAAGCGAGUCUGAAUAGGGCGCUUAGUCAGAUGCUGCAGACCCGAAACGAAGUGAUCUAUCCAUGAGCAAGUUGAAGCUAGUGUAAGAACUAGUGGAGGACUGAACCCAUAGGCGUUGAAAAGCCCCGGGAUGACUUGUGGAUAGGGGUGAAAGGCCAAUCAAACUUCGUGAUAGCUGGUUCUCUCCGAAAUAUAUUUAGGUAUAGCGUUGUGUCGUAAUAUAAGGGGGUAGAGCACUGAAUGGGCUAGGGCAUACACCAAUGUACCAAACCCUAUCAAACUCCGAAUACCUUAUAUGUAAUCACAGCAGUCAGGCGGCGAGUGAUAAAAUCCGUCGUCAAGAGGGAAACAACCCAGACUACCAGCUAAGGUCCCUAAAUCUUACUUAAGUGGAAAACGAUGUGAAGUUACUUAAACAACCAGGAGGUUGGCUUAGAAGCAGCCAUCCUUUAAAGAAAGCGUAAUAGCUCACUGGUCUAGUGAUUUUGCGCGGAAAAUAUAACGGGGCUAAAGUAAGUACCGAAGCUGUAGACUUAGUUUACUAAGUGGUAGGAGAGCGUUCUAUUUGCGUCGAAGGUAUACCGGUAAGGAGUGCUGGAGCGAAUAGAAGUGAGCAUGCAGGCAUGAGUAGCGAUAAUUAAUGUGAGAAUCAUUAACGCCGUAAACCCAAGGUUUCCUACGCGAUGCUCGUCAUCGUAGGGUUAGUCGGGUCCUAAGUCGAGUCCGAAAGGGGUAGACGAUGGCAAAUUGGUUAAUAUUCCAAUACCAACAUUAGUGUGCGAUGGAAGGACGCUUAGGGCUAAGGGGGCUAGCGGAUGGAAGUGCUAGUCUAAGGUCGUAGGAGGUUAUACAGGAAAAUCCGUAUAACAAUACUCCGAGAACUGAAAGGCUUUUUGAAGUCUUCGGAUGGAUAGAAGAACCCCUGAUGCCGUCGAGCCAAGAAAAGUUUCUAAGUUUAGCUAAUGUUGCCCGUACCGUAAACCGACACAGGUGGGUGGGAUGAGUAUUCUAAGGCGCGUGGAAGAACUCUCUUUAAGGAACUCUGCAAAAUAGCACCGUAUCUUC